rnacentral:lncRNA from 1 species
GCGGGUUGUGCACUUGUGGUGGCCUCUACUACUUUGCAAAGCCAUUGCCAAUGGAUUUCACCCUACCACACACAAGGUUAGUCCGUUACCGCAUAAUAGGCCUCCAAGUAGCGCCUACACUAGGACCUCCUACUACUCUCACCACAUGCAUCAAUCUUCUCGAAUUGAGAAUGAAAGAUCAUUAGAGUGUUAGGAUAACCCCGAAG